CACGUAGGAGGCAAGCGUUAUUCGGAUUUACUGGGCGUAAAGCGCGUGCAGGCGGUUCGGUAAGUUGGAUGUGAAAGCUCCUGGCUUAACUGGGAGAGGUCGUCCAAUACUACCGGACUAGAGGACGGUAGAGGAAGGUGGAAUUCCGGGUGUAGUGGUGAAAUGCGUAGAUAUCCGGAGGAACACCAGUGGCGAAGGCGGCCUUCUGGGCCGUUCCUGACGCUCAGACGCGAAAGCUAGGGUAG
rnacentral:rRNA from 1 species